CAAAAUAUUUUAUGACAGAGACGUAUUCAAGGACAGACCUGAAAUAAUCUAGGUUCUUCUCAUAAGCUUUACGAAAAUGAUUAACAGAUCAUGAUUUUGUACACCUUAGCUAAUUACUAAAUGGCAGAACCAGUAUAUAGUGACGAAAACAGUAGUGAUGUCGAAAUUGAUUAAAUUAAAUCAACCUGAAAAGUUUUCGCUGUUGUUGUUUUUCAUUUUGGUAGGCGGCAUAUCACUUAUAUGGUAUUACCAAUAGUAUUUCAACUUCUGCAAAAAACAGUCUAUUUGAAGAUGUGUGCUAUAAGGAUGAUUGCCGUUAUAAUUAUUAUUGAUUUCUAAUCACCUAUAAGAGUCAUCAAACGGAUAUAAAAAAGAACUAAAUGUGAGAUAUGGGACGAAUAACUGGUCACUUCAUUGAUGAAUUUAUCCCGAACCACUUAUCUAUAGAUGGACUUGUCUACAAUGAGCGAACCCGCCCAGUCAAGUGAAAUAAAUCAAGUAAUAAUUGCACUCUUAAUUAAUAUAUCAUAAAUAUUAUGUAUAUACACUCAGUCCUUAAUUUACUUUAGUAUUACAUUUUGGUGAGUAAUAAAUUAAAAAAGUUUAUCUACACACUUUAACAGAAUGACUGUUUACACCAUGAAAUUUUCACUUAGUACAGGCACAUAUGUGUAAUCUAAACAGUUUAAAAGCCUGCAAACACCUCGGUAAAUAAUUGUUUCAUCUAGUUGUGUUUUUAAAAGUUAAAAACCUUGAUGGAUUUUGAUGAACAUUUUGUUUCCUUGCUACAGAAAAUAGUGAAAUAAACACACACACCUGUGUUUUUAUUGAUUCAAUUUACACUAUUUAAAUAACUUUUGUUGAGUAGAUUUCUAUUAUCCAGAUACAAUACAAUCAUUCCCUAAGGGGAACAUCUCAAAGAUUUCACAUGACUUUGUUUAUUUUUACACCAUUUAUGACAAGGAAAGAAAAUGUUAAUCACAAUCCACAAUUUUGUUUUUUUCUUUUUAAAACACAAAAAUGAUUACAAUUCUAUAUAUCUAAGUGCUGCCAGGAUUUUAAACUUGUAACAUUACACAGUUUUGUCUGCAUUCAGAGAUAAUUUUAUGGUGUAAACACAGCCUUUUUUUUUAUUGAAGUGUAUAGGUGAACCUUUAAUGAAACUGCGAUGAACAGGGUUGAGUGUGUUAUAAUAAAAUUAUUAUAUGGAGAGAAAAAAAAAAACACGAAAAAAAUAUUAGGAAAAUGAAAAAAAUAAAUAAAAACAUGAUGAUAGUUACUAAUGAAAUAGAAAUUAUCAAUUGAUAGGUAUCAUCAAUAGUUUUGGAAAAUUCAUCUGAUUGCUCAACUUUGUGUCGUCUGUAAUAUACUUAUAAAAAUAAUAUGUAAAAGAUGAAUUAAAAAUGGUGGAAGAGAGUGUCGUUGAAAUGGUAGAAGAGAGUGUCUUUGAUAUGGUGGAAGAGAGUGACUUUGAUAUGGUAAUAGAACGCAUUUCGUGUGAAGGAAAUGAAACAUCUAUUCAAAAUCUAGAGCACGAUGAUUAUAUUACCUUACUUGUAAAAUCAAUUAGAAAAAAAGACAAACCUCGCAGUUAUUUUUGUGUUAAUGGCUGCAUAAUGAUUGGUAUCAAAAGAACGAAUUGGCAAUACAAGCGAAAGGUCAAAAAUUUACAUUGACUUUAACUAUUCUUAACAUAAAGCAAAAACGAAAGAAUUGAAGGAAUAUCAGAAGACUUUAUGGAUAAACAAGUUUUAAAAAAAUUCUAUCACUGUCCAAGAAAAAUUGUGCAAACCUUAAGAUUGAAAGUCACAGGACUAUAAUAAUUUAAUUAAGGAACAUAAAACUGAAAUGACAGGAAUCUGCGCAGUUUGAAUGGUGCAUAUUAGCAAGUUUUGCGAAUUAUCCAUAUACUAGCAUUUCUGCAAAACGGUUUGCAGAAGCUGGAUUUCAUUAUAAGGGAAACGCAAAUGAAGUCGUCUGCUUUUGUUGUAAAUUAAAACAAAAAAACUGGAGGUCAAACCAGAGCCCAGGACAUAUACAUAAAGACAAUGCACCUCAAUACUAUUGUGGUGUGCAAAUCUUAAAUAUGAUAUCAAUAAACAAUGAUAUAGAGACGACAUAUAGUUUUGUUGGUUCAUGGGAAAACUCCACGGAAGCGCCAAAAAUAUCGAUAAUAAAAGAAAAUAAAGAUGAAACAUCUUUGAAUUCAGCAAGGAAAAAGAAAACAAAAGAAACAAAAGAAACAUAGUCAGGAACAAUGUAGCUAUGGACCGGAAAAGAUUUACUAUUGAACAAGGAGAACAAAUUGUGAUUUCCUACAUUUUUGUAGCUUGUCACCCUAACAACAUAACUGGUAAAUUCCAGAAAACAAUAGAGGUCUGUAGUCAUCACGGCAAUCACCACGCACAGCAGUCCCUGUGACUCAACUCACUUCAAAUAUGGAGACAUUGAGCAUAGGUGUUUGUCUAGAGAAGCCCAAAUAUCAAAAUAUGUUAUAAAGACAUCUCGAUUGUCAUCAUAUGCAAAUUGGCCGUAGAUGAGUUAGUGACUGCAGGUGCCUUUUAUACCGAUGUGGUCUGUGAGGAUGAGAUCUUCGGGAUUUCCAAUGGACAGAGCAUGCGCGGUGGUUUCCGAAAUGCCAAUAUGCAAAACAGCGUAUGGAAGAAAAGUUCAUUGAAGAUGUGCAUCAUGUAAAGGAUCCUGAAAAUAUUUCAAAUAUAUAACAACUAGUUUGUUGUUUGAAAUAAUUAAUACAAAAGGAGAAGAGAACAAAACAAACGGCUUUUAAUCAUCCUGUUCAAAGUAUUCAUCAAUCAGCAUAUGAAGCCAAAAAUCAUAUCCAGGUUACACCUUAGACGAACAGACAAAUAUUGACCCAUACAUUGAAUUUCUGUGGAUUGUUGUAAAUGCUUUUUCUAUGAAGGAGGUAUAAGAAGAUGUGAGAAGGGAGAUUUGCCUUAGACAGAUUAUGAUUGAUGGUAUCUCAAGACUUAGUGCCCAUUUGUUAUACAAUACAAAGGAGAGAAAUUUAUUGAGGAUGUACAAAAGGGAAAAAAAACAAGAAGUUACGAAAAAGUGUGGACGAAAAAGAUCACAACUAGUGAAUUAAAUGGGUAGACAAAUAAUCCAACAGGAAAAACAAUUUUUGAUUUAGGAACCGAAUUUGUAGUUGUAAAGACAGCCUAUACAAGAUUGAAAGAAUCUGGAAUAUAUGAUAUUGGGGCAGCGCUAUUAUCAGAGACAAUUUGUGAAAAAGAAGAUAGUGAAAAUCAACUUGCCUCUUUUGACCAGACUAUUGAUAGUUGUAGCACAACAUAAGAAAAAAAAAGCAGACGAUACAAAACAUUGCAACAAAACACCAGACACCAUUGAAAAAAUAGAUCCAACACUUGAAUAAUCUAACAUGAGUCUGGAAGAGAAGAACCGGAAUUUAAAAGAUCAACAAACCUGUAAGAUUUGUCUAGCCGAACCGGUUGCCUUGGUUUUUCUCCCAUGUGACCACAUGGCUGCAUGCAUUUAUUGCGCUCCAGCGUUGAGAAGGUAUCCAAUCUGUUGAGCUUUUAUUAAAGGAACUGUUAAAGCUAUGAUGUGCUGAAAUAUUUCCAGAACGAUUUAACACUUUAGAAAUAAUUCUAAUUAUCAAAUGAAUUCAAAUGUCCCUUUAUGUAAAUAGAUUUUUUUUAAAAAGCUGUGAAGUGUGCGGAUUUUGGAAGAUGUAAAGAUGUAAAAUACAAUUUCCUGAACCUAAAAUGUAUUAUGAUAAGAAAGAUGUUUAUAUUGUUGAUUU